UGACUUCGAAGGCCCCCAGCGUAUUCCCACUGAGCUCUCCAAUGUGCAAAGACCCAGUGAUCAUCGGCUGCUUGAUCAAGGAUUUCUUCCCCCCGGCACCUGUGACUGUGACCUGGGGCAAGAGUGGGAAAGAAACAACCUUCCUACCUGUCCUGGAUAAGGAGAGCGGCCUGUUCACCACAAGCAGCCAGCUGAGCCUACCAGCUGCCGAGUGCCCAGUGUGCUCAAAUGUCACAUGCUCCGUGCAGCACGCCACAAGUGCCAUCAAAACAGUGGAAGUGCCCUGCCCAGGACCAAGACCACCAAAACCACCACCGUGUGACUGUUCCCAGAUCAACCUAUCGCUGCAGCGGCCAUCCCUUGAGGACCUGCUGCUGGGCUCUGACGCCAGCCUCACAUGCACACUGAGCGGCCUGAAGACCAACCAGCCAGCCUCCUUCUCCUGGGAGCCCUCAACCGGGAAGGAACCCAUCCAGAAGCCUGUUGAGGUUGACUCCCACGGCGGCUACACCGUGUCCAGCGUGCUGCCUGGCUGUGCCGAACUCUGGAACAGCGGGACGACCUUCACCUGCACAGUCACCCACCCUGACUUUGAGGGCACCAAGACUGCUACCGCCAAAAAAGAGACAGAGAACGUCUUCCGGCCUCAGGUCCAUCUGCUACCGCCGCCGUCGGAGGAGUUGGCUCUGAACGAGCUGGUGUCACUGACAUGCCUGGUGCGUGGCUUCAGCCCAAAGGAAGUGCUGGUGCGCUGGCUUCAUGGGACUGAGGAGCUGACCUCUGACAAGUACCUGGUGUGGGAUCCCCUGAAGGAGCCCGACGAGGGCGCCACCACAUAUGCUGUGACCAGCGUGCUGCGCGUGACAGCUGCGGCCUGGAAGCAGGGGGACUCCUUCUCCUGUAUUGUGGGCCAUGAGUCUCUGCCCCUGUCCUUCACUCAGAAGACCAUCGAUCACCAGUCGGGUAAACCCACCCAUGUCAACGUGUCUGUGAUCAUGGCGGAGGCAGACGGCACUUGCUACUGAGCCUUGCUGACCCUGCCCCUUCAAUAAAUGCCAUGCUAGCCCAAAGAA